AGAAUUUGGGUGUGACCACCAGGAACAAUUUGCUUCAGCUUCCCAACCCCACCGAGCUCUCCCCUCCCCCCCGAGGUCUGUUCCCUGCCCUCUGCGCCAUGGGUAGGUGUCCAUCCUUCCUGGCCUGGGUGCCAGAAGAGGGAGCACUGAGCACUGUGGAAUCCCAGCCUUCAUUGCACUCCCCACUGCUGCCUCAGGUGGGAGUAACUUUGCUAGGUCCAGUCUGCAGCACUGCUGAUUCCACAGGAGUUUCAGUAAGCCUAACUUCUGCUGGCUUCUGGCUUUUUUUUUCUCUGUGCAUGUGCAGCUUGAGAUUCAAAAGCUUAUUGCUUUAUCAUAAUAUUCAAUUGGAAAACUACCCAAAAGGCAUAUCCCUGAUUCAAAGUCUAUUCCUCCACAAAAUUUCAAAUUCUUUCUUCAAAGUAAAGAAAUCAUAGGCCUUUUCAAGUAUAUUACGAGGGCUUUUUCUGUACUUGAGUAAAAAUGGGAAGUUUUUUUCUCCUCCAGUUUCAUUCUUGCACGUACCUGGCUCCUUCUUGUUGAAAGUUCCAUUUGAACACACCAGCUUGAGGCAGACACCUGACCUGGAAAACUUCAUCCCAGCACUGUGAUCACCACAUUCUGUGCUACCUGUCACUGUGGUUACAGCAUCUCAGUCCAGACUGUCUGGAACAGUUUGAUCAACUAACUGGAUGUCCUGGGAAUAUUAUCAAAGGACUACCUUAGUUUGUUAUUCUCUGGUGGUUUCAUUGCUAACAAAAGCUUAGACUACCUGUGUGCCACAGAACAUUGCACUUCAUCCAAAGAUCUAAUAUUUGGAGUCUGCAGUCCUUGGAGUUGGAGGGAAGUAGAACCUAAAUAUCCAUAGAGCGCUGUGUUUGAUGGAUAUUUUAAAGACUGAGAUUUGGAAAUAAGUUUAUCUCCUUCAUUCAUGAAGAACUGUAAGAUAGAACCUUUUGGACAAUAACACAUCUAUAUUUAAAUUUUCUAUACGUAUGUACAUUUCUAUUUUUU